rnacentral:rRNA from 1 species
AAGCGGUGGAGCUAUGUGGUUUAAUUCGAAGCAACGCGAAAACCUUACCACCUUUGACAUGUACGGAAGCCUUAGAGAUAGAGGCGUGCUCGAAAGAGAGCCGUAACACAGGUGCUGCAUGGCUGUCGUCAGCUCGUGUCGUGAGAUGUUGGGUUAAGUCCCGCAACGAGCGCAACCCUUGUCAUUAGUUGCUACAUUCAGUUGGGCACUCUAAUGAGACUGCCGGUGACAAGCCGGAGGAAGUGGGGAUGACGUCAAGUCCUCAUGGCCCUUAUAGGUGGGGCUACACACGUCAUACAAUGGCUGGUACAAAGGGUUGCCAACCCGCGAGGGGGAGCUAAUCCCAUAAAGCCAGUCGUAGUCCGGAUCGUAGUCUGCAACUCGACUACGUGAAGUCGGAAUCGCUAGUAAUCGUGGAUCAGAAUGUCACGGUGAAUACGUUCCCGGGUCUU